rnacentral:rRNA from 1 species
AGUGAACGCUGGCGGUAGGCCUAACACAUGCAAGUCGAACGGCAGCACAGAGGAGCUUGCUCCUUGGGUGGCGAGUGGCGGACGGGUGAGGAAUACAUCGGAAUCUACUCUGUCGUGGGGGAUAACGUAGGGAAACUUACGCUAAUACCGCUUACGACCUACGGGUGAAAGCAGGGGAUCUUCGGACCUUGCGCGAUUGAAUGAGCCGAUGUCGGAUUAGCUAGUUGGCGGGGUAAGGGCCCACCAAGGCGACGAUCCGUAGCUGGUCAGAGAGGAUGAUCAGCCACACUGGAACUGAGACACGGUCCAGACUCCUACGGGAGGCAGCAGUGGGGAAUAUUGGACAAUGGGCGCAAGCCUGAUCCAGCCAUACCGCGUGGGUGAAGAAGGCCUUCGGGUUGUAAAGCCCUUUUGUUGGGAAAGAAAUCCAGCUGGCUAAUACCCGGUUGGGAUGACGGUACCCAAAGAAUAAGCACCGGCUAACUUCGUGCCAGCAGCCGCCGUAA